AGAAUCAACGCUGGCGGCGUGCCUAACACAUGCAAGUCGAACGAGAAAGUGGAGCAAUCCAUGAGUAAAGUGGCGCACGGGUGAGUAACACGUGACUAACCUACCCUUGAGUGGGGGAUAACCUAGGGAACCUGGGCUAAUACCGCAUAAUACCUUCGGGUCAAAGGAGCAAUUCGCUUAAGGAGGGGUCGCGGCCGAUUAGUUAGUUGGCGGGGUAAUGGCCCACCAAGACGAUGAUCGGUAU
rnacentral:rRNA from 1 species